GACAGAGGUGCCAAGCGUUAGGCGGAAUCACUGGGCUUAAAGCGUGUGUAGGCGGAUUGGUAAGUACCUUGUGAAAUCCCACGGCUCAACCGUGGAACUGCUCGGUAUACUGCCUAUCUUGAGCCACUUAGGGGCUGUCGGAACAAACGGUGGAGCGGUGAAAUGCGUAGAUAUCGGGAGGAACACCUGUGGCGAAAGCGGCUCACUGGACCACAACUGACGCUGAGGCGCGAAAGCUAGGGGAGCAAACAGG
rnacentral:rRNA from 1 species